rnacentral:rRNA from 1 species
AUGCAUAUAGAUAGCUUAUUUGCAUUGUUCAAAAAACUUUGUAGUCUCAACGAUGAUGCAUACAUGUCCACUAUGGGUGUUGGGUCCAACAAUUCGCAUUGGUCUCAAACCAAUGACAUCCAUUUCGAAGACCAUGAGUUUGAGGUGGACGAGGAGGGUGAGGGAAUUGUCGAGGCGCCGAAAGGAAGAGCGGGCAAUUACUCAACCAACGAUGACAAGUUACUAUGCAAUACUUAUUUGCAUGUGUCGAGGGAUCCAUCCAUUGGAGGUGAUCAAAGUAGAGACGCGUAUUGGGGGCGAAUGAAAGAACACUUUGAUGCUCACAACAAGAGUGGAAUUGACCGCUCCGAGAGAUCACUUCGGUCCCGAUGGUCGACAAUCAACUCGGAUUGUCAAAAGUGGGCGGCCGUACAAAAGGCCGUUGACAAGAUUAACCCAAGUGGCACAAAUUGA